rnacentral:rRNA from 1 species
AGGGUUUGAUCCUGGCUCAGAUUGAACGCUGGCGGCAGGCCUAACACAUGCAAGUCGAGCGGUAGAGAGAAGCUUGCUUCUCUUGAGAGCGGCGGACGGGUGAGUAAUGCCUAGGAAUCUGCCUGGUAGUGGGGGAUAACGUUCGGAAACGGACGCUAAUACCGCAUACGUCCUACGGGAGAAAGCAGGGGACCUUCGGGCCUUGCGCUAUCAGAUGAGCCUAGGUCGGAUUAGCUAGUUGGUGAGGUAAUGGCUCACCAAGGCGACGAUCCGUAACUGGUCUGAGAGGAUGAUCAGUCACACUGGAACUGAGACACGGUCCGGACUCCUACGGGAGGCAGCAGUGGGGAAUAUUGGACAAUGGGCGAAAGCCUGAUCCAGCCAUGCCGCGUGUGUGAAGAAGGUCUUCGGAUUGUAAAGCACUUUAAGUUGGGAGGAAGGGUUGUAGAUUAAUACUCUGCAAUUUUGACGUUACCGACAGAAUAAGCACCGGCUAACUCUGUGCCAGCAGCCGCGGUAAUACAGAGGGUGCAAGCGUUAAUCGGAAUUACUGGGCGUAAAGCGCGCGUAGGUGGUUUGUUAAGUUGGAUGUGAAAUCCCCGGGCUCAACCUGGGAACUGCAUUCAAAACUGACUGACUAGAGUAUGGUAGAGGGUGGUGGAAUUUCCUGUGUAGCGGUGAAAUGCGUAGAUAUAGGAAGGAACACCAGUGGCGAAGGCGACCACCUGGACUAAUACUGACACUGAGGUGCGAAAGCGUGGGGAGCAAACAGGAUUAGAUACCCUGGUAGUCCACGCCGUAAACGAUGUCAACUAGCCGUUGGAAGCCUUGAGCUUUUAGUGGC